rnacentral:tRNA from 1 species
GGGCCUGAUAGGCAACCCACUACCCGAAGCUCCAAUUCCCCCAUUUCAGGCGGCGACGGACGGGACCCGGUUCGAAUCCGGGCAGGCCCACCA